AUUCCUUGUUUGCAUCAUCACUAUUGUAAAAUAUUUCUGCUCUUAUUUCUGUUAUAAGUUGUUUUUAGUAUCUUUUCGAUGGAUUUACCCAAACUCUAGAUUUUUUUCUGAACCAAAAAGUUAGGAUUAGCAAAUAUAUGUGUACCUUUUGGGUUUCUACAUAUAGGGGUAAAGAAAUUUCAUGAUUGAUUUACUGUUUUUAGAUCAAAAUGUUAGGAUUAGUAAAUCUACAUGUACCUUCUUCAUACAGGGCUUAAGAAAUUUUCAUGAUCAAUUCUAUGUUUAUCUUGUUUUACUGUAAAAAUAUGAAUCUGAUCUACUUGUUUUGAGUCGAUUCAUCACUUGGAAAUUUUAUGAUUAAAUUAUUAGAAAGUAUUGUACAACUGCAAAUGAGUUUUGAAUGCAUGCAUAUUGUUUGAUAAAAUUUCCCGCUUGAUGUUUGUGGUGGUUAGGAGUGUUCAAGAAAUUCAUAUGUUUGAAUGCAUAUCUAAUUGGUCACGGAACAAAGUAAACAUGAGCAGAGUGGAAAAUAAUGGAAAGCAGGUCAGAUGGACAAAGGAUAUGGAUAGUACUGUUGGUGACUUUUGUAUAACCGUAUGCAUCGACUUUUGGAGAUGGAAUUAUUAGCUCUGCAGUUGUAAUAUAGGUGAAUGACUAAAACACUCGCAGUAUUGGUCAUGGCACAAGAGCAUAAUUUCCAAAUUUUCGACGGCGGUAUUCCAGUAUGUUUGAGUUUAUUGUGUCUAUUUGUAGUGUAAAACUUGCAUACCUACCAAUGUAUAUGCAGACUUGUGUUGAAUGAAUUAUGAUGACAGUCAAUAUAUUAUCAAUGGAAGUAUUUAUGUAUAA